GAUGAACGCUGGCGGCGUGCCUAAUACAUGCAAGUCGAGCGAACAGACGAGGAGCUUGCUCCUCUGACGUUAGCGGCGGACGGGUGAGUAACACGUGGAUAACCUACCUAUAAGACUGGGAUAACUUCGGGAAACCGGAGCUAAUACCGGAUAAUAUAUUGAACCGCAUGGUUCAAUAGUGAAAGACGGUUUUGCUGUAACUUAUAGAUGGAUCCGCGCCGCAUUAGCUAGUUGGUAAGGUAACGGCUUACCAAGGCGACGAUGCGUAGCCGAGCUGAUAGGGUGAUCGGCCACACUGGAGCGUGGACACGGUCCAGACUCCUACGGGAGGCAGCAGUAGGGAAUCUUCCGCAAUAGGCGAAAGCCUGACGGAGCAACGCCGCGUGAGUGAUGAAGGUCUUCGGAUCGUAAAACUCUGUUAUUAGGGAAGAACAAAUGUGUAAGUAACUAUGCACGUCUUGACGGUACCUAAUCAGAAAGCCACGGCUAACUACGUG
rnacentral:rRNA from 1 species